rnacentral:rRNA from 1 species
GAUGAACGCUAGCUACAGGCUUAACACAUGCAAGUCGAGGGGCAGCAUGGUCUUAGCUUGCUAAGGCCGAUGGCGACCGGCGCACGGGUGAGUAACACGUAUCCAACCUGCCGUCUACUCUUGGACAGCCUUCUGAAAGGAAGAUUAAUACAAGAUGGCAUCAUGAGUCCGCAUGUUCACAUGAUUAAAGGUAUUCCGGUAGACGAUGGGGAUGCGUUCCAUUAGAUAGUAGGCGGGGUAACGGCCCACCUAGUCUUCGAUGGAUAGGGGUUCUGAGAGGAAGGUCCCCCACAUUGGAACUGAGACACGGUCCAAACUCCUACGGGAGGCAGCAGUGAGGAAUAUUGGUCAAUGGGCGCAGGCCUGAACCAGCCAAGUAGCGUGAAGGAGGACUGCCCUAUGGGUUGUAAACUUCUUUUAGAAAGGAAUAAAGUCGGGUAUGUAUACCCGUUUGCAUGUACUUUAUGAAUAAGGAUCGGCUAACUCCGUG